rnacentral:rRNA from 1 species
GACGAACGCUGGCGGCGUGCUUAACACAUGCAAGUCGAGCGGUAAGGCCCUUUCGGGGUACACGAGCGGCGAACGGGUGAGUAACACGUGGGUGACCUGCCCUCAGCUCUGGGAUAAGCCUGGGAAACCGGGUACUAAUACCGGAUAUGACUCCAUGACGCAUGUUGUGGGGUGGAAAGCCUUGUGCGGCUGAGGAUGGGCCCGCGGCCUAUCAGCUUGUUGGUGGGGUGAUGGCCUACCAAGGCGACGACGGGUAGCCGGCCUGAGAGGGCGACCGGCCACACUGGGACUGAGACACGGCCCAGACUCCUACGGGAGGCAGCAGUGGGGAAUCUUGCGCAAUGGGCGAAAGCCUGACGCAGCGACG